AACGAACGCUGGCGGCAGGCCUAACACAUGCAAGUCGAACGCCGUAGCGAUACGGAGUGGCAGACGGGUGAGUAACGCGUGGGAACAUACCCCUCGGUUCGGAAUAACUCAGGGAAACUUAGAGCUAAUACCGGAUAAGUCCGAGGUUUUAAUCGACCUUGGAGAAAGAUUUAUCGCCGGAGGAUUGGCCCGCGUCUGAUUAGCUUGUUGGUGAGGUAAUGGCUCACCAAGGCGACGAUCAGUAGCUGGUCUGAGAGGAUGAUCAGCCACAUUGGGACUGAGACACGGCCCAAACUCCUACGGGAGGCAGCAGUGGGGAAUAUUGGACAAUGGGCGAAAGCCUGAUCCAGCCAUGCCGCGUGAGUGAUGAAGGCCUUAGGGUUGUAAAGCUCUUUUACCCGGGAAGAUAAUGACGGUACCGGGAGAAUAACGCCCCGGCCAACUUCGUGCCAGCCGCCGCCGUAAG
rnacentral:rRNA from 1 species